rnacentral:rRNA from 1 species
GUCUCUUUGAAAUAAUAUAUAAGGAGUCUGACCUGCCCAGUGACGUAGUUUCAACGGCCGCGGUAUUUUGACCGUGCAAAGGUAGCACAAUAACUUGCUUUUUAAUUAAAGGCUAGAAUGAAUGGUUAAACGAGAGUAAAACUGUCUCUUUUAUAUUUACUAGAAAUUAUCUUUUAGGUUAAAAGACCUAAAUAUUACUGAAAGACGAGAAGACCCUGUUGAGCUUAUAAAAAAAUAGAAUAACUAAUUAUCUUAGAAAUUUAUAGUUAUUUUAAAAUUUUAGUUGGGGCGACUGUGGAGUAGAAAAAACCUCCAUUAUACAUAAAAUAAUUUACUAUUUCUGAUCCAUUGUUUUUGAUAGAAGAAAUUAGUUACCAAAGGGAUAACAGCGUAAUUCUCUUUAAGAGACCUUAUCGAUAAGAGAGAUUGCGACCUCGAUGUUGGAUUAAAAUAUACUAAAAGGCGCAGAAGUUUUUUAAGUUAGUCUGUUCGACUAUUAAAAUUUU